AUGCUUGUGUUUUUGCAGAUUGAAAAAGAAGAAGAAAGAUUGGAAACAAAGUCGAAAUCAACCCCAUAUGUCUCCUCUCCUAUCGAAGUCGCUACAAUUCUUUCAGAUCCGACGCACACAACUGCACUGUCGCACACCUCAACCGACCCUUCGUCAACAACUCACCAUCGUGCCUCUGUCAACAGAUCAAUCGGAAACCGACGAGAUCGACGCUGUAAUUCCAGCCACACCGUUGAUAACGCUUCCCUCUGUUUCAGAUCUCGCCACAGGUCAAAUGGAAGUCUGAUACGAUGGGAGAACUGA